rnacentral:rRNA from 1 species
AGAAUCAACGCUGGCGGCGUGCCUAACACAUGCAAGUCGCACGAGAAAGGGGAGCAAUCCCUGAGUAAAGUGGCGCACGGGUGAGUAACACGUGAAUAAUCUACCUCCGAGUGGGGAAUAACUGAGAGAAAUCUUAGCUAAUACCGCAUAACACUUACGAGUCAAAGCAGCAAUGCGCUUGGAGAGGAGUUCGCGGCCGAUUAGUUAGUUGGCGGGGUAAUGGCCCACCAAGACGAUGAUCUGUA